AGAUAAUUGGAUCAGGAACAGUACUAAUUCUAAUUCAAUUUUUUCCAAGCACAGAAAAAACAUACUUUUUCAAAACACCCCAAAAGUACCCUAAAAUACAUAAACCCCCACAAAAGUUACAUCCCAGAUCAGUUCAGGGGUUCAGGAAUUUCCUGGAAGUCAUUUAUUUGACCGACCACAGGCAUGGUCCCAUGCCCAAAACAGUUCCAGGGCUUGCGGUCGGUCUAGUUCGUAGUUUGAAAACUACCAAACAGAGUCAAUAGUCUUACCCUGGAGCUUGUUCCCCUC